CGGGCCGCUUCGCGCGGGUGUUGGCGAUCUCGCUGGAGUCGGGGCUGGACCUGAUCGAGGCGGUUCGGAUCGGCGGGCGCUCCACCGGUCGUCCGG
rnacentral:tRNA from 1 species